rnacentral:rRNA from 1 species
AUUGAACGCUGGCGGCAUGCUUUACACAUGCAAGUCGAACGGUAACAGGCCUUCGGGCGCUGACGAGUGGCGAACGGGUGAGUAAUGCAUCGGAACGUGCCCAGUCGUGGGGGAUAACUGCUCGAAAGAGCAGCUAAUACCGCAUACGAUCUGCGGAUGAAAGCGGGGGACCUUCGGGCCUCGCGCGAUUGGAGCGGCCGAUGUCAGAUUAGGUAGUUGGUGGGGUAAAGGCUCACCAAGCCAACGAUCUGUAGCUGGUCUGAGAGGACGACCAGCCACACUGGGACUGAGACACGGCCCAGACUCCUACGGGAGGCAGCAGUGGGGAAUUUUGGACAAUGGGCGCAAGCCUGAUCCAGCAAUGCCGCGUGCAGGAAGAAGGCCUUCGGGUUGUAAACUGCUUUUGUACGGAACGAAACGGUCUGGGUUAAUACCCUGGGCUAAUGACGGUACCGUAAGAAUAAGCACCGGCUAACUACGUGCCAGCCGCCGCCGUAA